UAGCCCUUCAGAGGGGGACGAACAGUUGGAAACGAACUGCUAAUACCGCAUACGAUCUAAUCUCGGCAUCGAGGAUAGAUGAAAGGUGGCCUCUACAUGUAAGCUAUCACUGAAGGAGGGGGAUUGCGUCUGAUUAGCUAGUUGGAGGGGUAACGGCCCACCAAGGCGAUGAUCAGUAGCCGGUCUGAGAGGAUGAACGGCCACAUUGGGACUGAGACACGGCCCAGACUCCUACGGGAGGCAGCAUG
rnacentral:rRNA from 1 species